CUUGUUUACAUUUAUGCUUGAUUAAAUAAUACACACUUCACUAUACGUGCUGUAGAGCUAAAUUGAUAGAGCAGUUGUUCAUCCCAAACACGAGUUUUGAUUUUAUGUUCUCGCACUUAUUAGCCCAGCUUCCUAAGAGUUAUUGCUGGCUAACAAUUAUGGUCAAGAAAACAGUCUUGACUACAUCCAUUACAGCAAAACAAAUACAGAACUGUUGAUUCAUACAGAAUAGCAUCUGUACAGUAUUAUUAACAUGUUAUACAAACAUUAUCUAUGUAACUGUUGUGGUACAGAUCUAAUACAGAUAUUAUCUAUAUAAUUUUGUCUUACAGAGCUAAUACAAAUAUUAUUCUUGUAGCUGUAAUGAUACAAACUUGCUUGCUUGCUGCACUAUAUUUAUAUAUAUUCAGAUAACCACAGUGGUACAAUCCUGUCUACCCACAUAAUCAUAAUAUUUACACUGUUUACCUAUAUAGUGUAACAGCUGCCAGGGUUAUUUUAUCCUGAUGUAGAUUAAGAAUGAGGACUAAAUUGUUCCACAUUACUGUGAAAGUUUUGUUGCCUGACAAUAUUUGUUUCGUUCCAGGAUAACUUAGCUGCAGAGCCUCAAAGACCCACGACAGCCCGGCGCCGUCUUGACAGGCAGCGGUCCGUCAUCAACCAAGUGACAGACGUACAGAAACGGUGGAAGGAUACGGUACAGGAACAGAGGAAGCAGAUCUACGAUCAUCACUCACUACUCAACUAGAAACAGACACAUGAAAAACUACUCACUCCUCAUCUAAAGAGAUCUUAACUAGGAACUGAACAAAAUAAAGACAGCAGGAUGUGUGAUCAUCACUCACUACUGAACUA